rnacentral:lncRNA from 1 species
GCUAGUUUUGGCCUGCAAAGCCUGCAGAAGCCUUCCUCAAGCCUUUUGGAGGCCUAAAAAGGCCUCAAACUGGCCGAAAAUCAGCUGUGAGAUGCAGUGCAGAGAGCACCACCAUCUUGAACACAGAGGUUGAUCUACACACUGUGGAGAACGAUGUGGUGGCCUUAGAGGACUUUUUCAAAGCCUGGCUGCAUGACCAUGCUCCAGAUCAAGAGCACCUUCAUCUCCUCCUGCCUGCCAGGACCACCAGCCGCCCCGGGGCACCCAGCAGCGAUGCAGGUAAUCUACCCUUGCCCUCAGGUACCAGAUGGGCAUCUGUGACAUGUUGGUGCCGUUUUCUUAAGAGAGCACAUUACAAUAAACGAAAGUAGUAAACCAUAGAAGAGACCAGCAAGAAAUUGUGCGUACUGUCCAGGAUUAUACACACACUGUGUUUUCUUGCUGGCCAGAGACUGAGCGUUACAUGUCCGUGUUCCUGGCUCUUUGGAUAUUCUUGUGCACUUCUGAGUCAGUGCAACAUUUGCCACACAGAAAAGCUAGGAAAAGAAUCUGUAAGGGCAUCAGAGGAUUCUCUGCUCCCGAGAGGCUGUCCCAGGAAGGAGAGGCUCAGGGAUAAAUAGGGCUACUUCCCAGAGAAUGCUUUACAUGUGGAUAUUCAGCAGUGGGAUCCUACUUGUCCAACUACCUGUUCGGUGAUUGUGCACGCGCACACUAAUGUUUACUUUAGUUGUCACUGCACAUUGUACAAUGAAAUUAAAUACCAUCUUCAGUAGAAUUCAAAAGAGCUACUGCCCUGGGAUAGAAGCUGUUUUUCAGCCUAUUUGCCCUUGUUUUUAUUGUCCUGUACCGUCUGCCAGAUGGUAAUAAUUCAAAAAAAGGGUGCCAAAGAUGAGGUGGAUCUUUAAGGAUGUUUUGAACUUUCCUUAAGGCAGCGGGAACUAUAAAGCUCUUCCAAAGAGGGGAGAGGGCAACCCAUGAUCCUCUGGGCAAUGAUGUUAACCUUUUGGAGAGCUGUCCUAUCUGCCCCUGUGCAAUUGGCAAACCAUACAGAGGUGCAGUAAGUUAAGAUACUCUCUAUGGUGCAGCGGUAGAAGGUCACCAGCAGUUUUUCAUUUGGUUGUUGUUUUCUGAGAAGCCUCAGGUAGUAUAAUCUCUGCUGGGCCGUUUUGACCUAACAUGCAUGCGCACAGCUUUCCACACGUCAGCUGAGGCCUGCAGUGCCAAUCAGCUGAGAGGAUAAAGAAAAGUGCAGGGGCUGGUGGGAGGGCCGAUCCUGUGUGUCUUUCUAUCAGCUGGUCAUUGGAGGCUUUUUUGGGCAGCAAUUUUUGCUACCAAUUAGGUUGAACCAGGCCGAACCGGUAGCAUACCACCACUGUGGAUAUUCCUUUACUUUCCCUUACAUGAACAGAGGAUUCAAGCUCUUCAUCGAAGUUUUCCUAGAUCUCAAAUUCAUGUUACACCUGCCCUUGGGUGGGUGGGGUUUUUUUUUCUUUCAUUUUACUUUUCUAGCCAAAUAUUUAGGGACUUAUUACAUUUUUUAAAAAAAAAGUAGAGAGAGCACACUGAGCACAAGAGCAGGAAAGAUGCUGUCAAGUCUCUGAUUUUCUGGCUGAAUAUAGAGACAGGCAGUCUAACACUACAAAGGCUUCCAUACAAAGUUUCUUGAUUGGAUUAUAUCAGGCAUCCUCAAGGUAUAACUCACAGUUAUGCUGAGAUUCAUCUAAUGUCCAAUCUUUGCAUUGUCGUCUUCAUAGUGUGAAAAGAUAGUUAUCUUCAUCCCAUAAUGAUACAGCAAGGGAAAACUCCAGCACGUUGCUGGGUCCAGGUAAAAAAUGACCAAAACUCCCCCCAACUCAACCAGAGGUCAAUUCAGUGACCAAUCAGGAUUACAGAUGUGACCUCAUGACAUGAACUACAUCUCCCAUGGGGCAUCAACUACAUUUCCCAUGAGGCAUUCCCUUAAGGGGACAGCUCUCAUUCCCAAGCUAACUAUAUACUGUUGAACCAGCACAGAUGCAAAGAAUACAAGUCUCCUUUAUCCAGUGGCAGAUGUUCUUUUUCAAUUCAUUUUUCUUUCUUCGAUUAUGUGUGUAAUUUAUAAAUAAUUCAUCAUCUCUCCGGAGUGGGGUCAUUCUGCAAGGCUGAAAACCAGAGAGCAAAAACAGAUCAAAGGAAUGACUUCUUCCCAUCUCUGGAAUUUGCUCACGCCAUCAAUUUCAGUACUUUGAAAUGGGGCUUGGGCCAUCUGGGGAGGAAGAUCAGGAAAGUCCUUUUGGAUUCAAGGGCGAUCCCUCGAGCUGCCUGUGGGACAGGAGGCUGGACUGGCUGCAUCAGUUUCACCAGGCUGCCCCUGCCUGCUCCCACCGCAGCUUCUGCUGACAGUGGGGACAAUCUCCCACAGCAGAACAGGUGCUUUGAGCCCCACUCCCUCCACAUAC